rnacentral:rRNA from 1 species
AGCGCAGGCGGUGAUUUAAGUCUGAUGUGAAAGCCCACGGCUCAACCGUGGAAGGUCAUUGGAAACUGGAUCACUUGAGUGCAGAAGAGGAAAGUGGAGUUCCAUGUGUAGCGGUGAAAUGCGUAGAUAUAUGGAGGAACACCAGUGGCGAAGGCGACUUUCUGGUCUGUAACUGACGCUGAGGCUCGAAAGCAUGGGGAGCAAACA